rnacentral:rRNA from 1 species
UACGAGGGGUGCAAGCGUUGCUCGGAAUUAUUGGGCGUAAAGGGUAGGUAGGUGGUCUCAUUUGUCUGAUGUGAAAGCCUUGGGCUUAACUCAAGAAGUGCGUCAGAAACGGUGAGACUCGAGUCCUAGAGAGGGUCGUGGAAUUCCCGGUGUAGCGGUGAAAUGCGUAGAGAUCGGGAGGAACACCAGAGGCGAAGGCGGCGACCUGGAUAGGUACUGACACUCAACUACGAAAGCGUGGGGAGCAAACAGG